rnacentral:rRNA from 1 species
GCAGGCCUAACACAUGCAAGUCGAGCGGUAGCACAGAGAGCUUGCUCUCGGGUGACGAGCGGCGGACGGGUGAGUAAUGUCUGGGAAGCUGCCUGAUGGAGGGGGAUAACUACUGGAAACGGUAGCUAAUACCGCAUAAUGUCGCAAGACCAAAGUGGGGGGCCUUCGGGCCUCAUGCCAUCAGAUGUGCCCAGAUGGGAUUAGCUAGUAGGUGGGGUAACGGCUCACCUAGGCGACGAUCCCUAGCUGGUCUGAGAGGAUGACCAGCCACACUGGAACUGAGACACGGUCCAGACUCCUACGGGAGGCAGCAGUGGGGAAUAUUGCACAAUGGGCGCAAGCCUGAUGCAGCCAUGCCGCGUGUGUGAAGAAGGCCUUCGGGUUGUAAAGCACUUUCAGCGGGGAGGAAGGCGUUAAGGUUAAUAACCUUGGCGAUUGACGUUACCCGCAGAAGAAGCACCGGCUAACUCCGUGCCAGCAGCCGCGGUAAUACGGAGGGUGCAAGCGUUAAUCGGAAUUACUGGGCGUAAAGCGCACGCAGGCGGUCUGUCAAGUCGGAUGUGAAAUCCCCGGGCUCAACCUGGGAACUGCAUUCGAAACUGGCAGGCUAGAGUCUUGUAGAGGGGGGUAGAAUUCCAGGUGUAGCGGUGAAAUGCGUAGAGAUCUGGAGGAAUACCGGUGGCGAAGGCGGCCCCCUGGACAAAGACUGACGCUCAGGUGCGAAAGCGUGGGGAGCAAACAGGAUUAGAUACCCUGGUAGUCCACGCCGUAAACGAUGUCGAUUUGGAGGUUGUGCCCUUGAGGCGUGGCUUCCGGAGCUAACGCGUUAAAUCGACCGCCUGGGGAGUACGGCCGCAAGGUUAAAACUCAAAUGAAUUGACGGGGGCCCGCACAAGCGGUGGAGCAUGUGGUUUAAUUCGAUGCAACGCGAAGAACCUUACCUGGUCUUGACAUCCACAGAACUUUCCAGAGAUGGAUUGGUGCCUUCGGGAACUGUGAGACAGGUGCUGCAUGGCUGUCGUCAGCUCGUGUUGUGAAAUGUUGGGUUAAGUCCCGCAACGAGCGCAACCCUUAUCCUUUGUUGCCAGCGGUUCGGCCGGGAACUCAAAGGAGACUGCCAGUGAUAAACUGGAGGAAGGUGGGGAUGACGUCAAGUCAUCAUGGCCCUUACGACCAGGGCUACACACGUGCUACAAUGGCAUAUACAAAGAGAAGCGACCUCGCGAGAGCAAGCGGACCUCAUAAAGUAUGUCGUAGUCCGGAUUGGAGUCUGCAACUCGACUCCAUGAAGUCGGAAUCGCUAGUAAUCGUAGAUCAGAAUGCUACGGUGAAUACGUUCCCGGGCCUUGUACACACCGCCCGUCACACCAUGGGAGUGGGUUGCAAAAGAAGUAGGUAGCUUAACCUUCGGGAGGGCGCUUACCACUUUGUGAUUCAUGACUGGGGUGAAGA